CAGAUAUUUUAAGCUUCCAUGUCACGUCACGACAACCUUGCCUAAUCCAAGAUGAAGAAACAAAUAUGUAGAAGGCAUCUGCAGUGAUUUCCUUAAGCAGCUGACAUCAGCAAAGUAAACAGCCAACACAUUAAAUCUAGUCAGUGAAAUUUCUGCCUUACUGGGUUACUGGACUGAAGCUGAUUAAUAAGAUAGCCCUGUGAACCCUUGUUCAUAUCAUCAGCAGGCUGGAUAAAGUAAUCAGG